CUUAUUGAUGUCAAAGCGAUACUACAUGCAUCGUGAUAUAGUUUAACUUAAGAAAUGUGUGAACAGAAUCGCUUUUUGGCAUUUAUAAAUCAUAUUUACUUUAAAUGUGUAGAACUGUAAAAUAUCUGUAAUACUACUGGGUCUAAUGACGUCAGCUAACUACUGUGAUGUUCUGUGGCAAUGUUAGAGAUCGUAGUGUUUUGAAAACCAGUCACAUGAAAUUUACUUCCUGAUUUAUCACUAGCAAAUUCGUCUGGUAGUCUUCAACCCAAACGUUUUUAAAUCUUCGGAGUCGAGUAAAUGAUUGUGUAUGUGCCCAGCUGAAGUGACAUUCCCUGACGAUUCGUAUUCGCAGAGAAUGAAACAGAAGACAAAAUAAGAGAGAAAUGGGAAGAAAUCACGUUGGAAUAAUCUAUUUUCUCGUGUGAAAAAAACAAAAACCGUUUGAGGGCAGUCUACGAGCAAGACGGUGGACACAUUGACCACAUUUUCAAGUGCUCACCAGAUAACCACAGGACCUCCGCGAAACUGGCAGCACAUGUCUAAGACCGAUUCGGUGUUUUCUUUAGUUCACUGCUCUCCUCCGACACGGCGAAUUAACCUGGCCUACACGGUAAUGAAUAAACAACAAAAAGGGCCUGGUCCCGGCAGGGUACCUGUUGUCGUAUUGUAAGGAAAAUAGUCACGUGGUGAUCACGUUCGUCUGUGUAUAUACAAGUGCAUGUCUUUACACAUGCGACAACAGUUUGUGUUUCGUUUUUACUCCUUGAUACAUAUGUGGCUUCUCUAGAAUUUGAAAAUAAUGAAAAUAAAUAUUUUAAUUUUUAUUAUUUUGUGGUUCAGUUCAGUUAUAGAGAAAUACUUGACUAGUUUUGUCAAACAGAACAGUUGAGGACUAUAUUUGUCGCAAUAUAUCUGUAAC